rnacentral:pre_miRNA from 1 species
UGCCAUUUUUAUCAGUCACUGUGUUCGAAAACUCGCAGUGUCGAUGACAAUGGCCUGAUA